rnacentral:rRNA from 1 species
AUUGAACGCUGGCGGCAGGCCUAACACAUGCAAGUCGAACGAGUGGCGGACGGGUGAGUAAUGUAUGGGAAACUGCCUGAUGGAGGGGGAUAACUACUGGAAACGGUAGCUAAUACCGCAUACCAUCAGAUGGGCCCGUGUGGGAUUAGCUAGUUGGUGGGGUAACGGCGCCCCAAGGCGACGAUCCCUAGCUGGUCUGAGAGGAUGACCAGCCACACUGUAACUGAGACACGGCCCAGACUCCUACGGGAGGCAGCAGUGGGGAAGAUGGCACAAUGGGCGAAAGCCUGAUGCAGCCAUGCCGCGUGUAUGAAGAAGGCCUUCGGGUUGUAAAGUACUUUCAGCGGGGAGGCGUUACCCGCAGAAGAAGCACCGGCUAACUCCGUGCCAGCAGCCGCGGUAAUAC